rnacentral:rRNA from 1 species
UCGUAGUUGGAUUUUGGUUAAGAGGGCGCGGUCGGCCGUUUGGUCUGUACUGCGUUGUCUUGACUUCCUGAUGAGGACAUGCUCUUGGUUAACGCUGAGACAUGGAGUCAUCGUGGUUACUUUGAAAAAAUUAGAGUGUUCAAAGCGGGCUUACGCUUGAAUAUAUUAGCAUGGAAUAACACUAUAGGACUCCUGUCCUAUCUCGUUGGUCUCGGGAUGGGAGUAAUGAUUAAGAGGAACAGUUGGGGGCAUUCGUAUUUCAUUGUCAGAGGUGAAAUUCUUGGAUUUAUGAAAGACGAACUUCUGCGAAAGCAUUUGCCAAGGAUGUUUUCAUUAAUCAAGAACGAAAGUUGGGGGCUCGAAGAUGAUUAGAUACCAUCCUAGUCUCAACCAUAAACGAUGCCGACUAGGGAUUGGUGGAUGUUAAUUGAUGACUUCACCAGCACCUUAUGAGAAAUCAAAGUUUUUGGGUUCCGGGGGGAGUAUGGUCGCAAGGCUGAAAC